rnacentral:rRNA from 1 species
AUGUGUGUGCCAAAACGACGGGGAGGUAUGGGUUUCAAAGACUUGGAAAGUUUUAAUUUGGCUAUGCUCUCAAAACAAUGUUGGAGAUUGCUCUCCGAGUCAAAUUUGUUGUGUGCCCAAGUGCUUCGCGUGAAGUAGUACACCCCGGGAUACUUACUAAACCGUGAACUGAAGAAGGGGAGUUCUUACACGUGGCAAAGCUUAUGGUCAUGCAUAAAACUUUUAAAAGAGCGCACAUUUUGA